rnacentral:lncRNA from 1 species
ACGUGGUUGAACUAGAAUGGAUCUUAGGAAGUCACUUUUCUUUUGCCAGUAACACAUGCAUUCUUGUGCAUGAAGCAAUGUAUGGCUGACAGCCAUCAACUGAAUUACUCAACAGCUCCUCUUUGGUGCAAUGCACUGUGUUGGACUCUGAUACCCUGAAUUCUUGAUCCUCAAGGCAUCGCCAGGACAUUGGACUUUAGGAUGCAAGAGAAGAUAAGGAAGACAAGAUCUCAACCACUUUCAGCAAAGCUUUGCGGAGAAUGCAACAUCCUUCAAGACACCAUGAAGCUCCACGCAUCUGGUCAUCUUGUUUCUUCAGGGAAUAAAUUUAUUGUUCUCUGCUUCAGGUGACUGGAGGAGACAAAGUGAUCCC